rnacentral:rRNA from 1 species
GAUGAACGCUAGCUACAGGCUUAACACAUGCAAGUCGAGGGACCGGCGCACGGGUGAGUAACACGUAUCCAACCUGCCCUUUACUCGGGGAUAGCCUUUCGAAAGGAAGAUUAAUACCCGACAUAAUGGAUGGGGAUGGGUUUCAUUAGGUUGUUGGUGAGGUAACGGCUAACCAAGCAUUCGAUGGAUAGGGGUUCGGAGAGGAAGCUACCCCAGAUUGGAACUGCGGCACAGUCCAAUCACGUAGGGGAGGCAGCAGUAAGGUGGAUAAGUCAAUCAGCGCGAGCCUGAAACAGCCGAGUAGCGUGAAAAAGGAAGAGUUAUGAGUCGUAAUCUUCUUGUAUGUAAGAAUAUGUAUUAUAUGAAUAAGGAUCGGCUAACUCCGUGCCAGCCGCCGCGGUAAUUC